CGGUAAUACGUAGGGGGCGAACGUUGUCCGGAAUUACUGGGCGUAAAGGGUACGCAGGCGGCCAUGUAAGUCAGAUGUGAAAGGCCAAGGCUCAACUUUGGUUAGCAUUUGAAACUGUGUGGCUUGAGUUAAGGAGAGGAAAGUGGAAUUCUUAGUGUAGCGGUGAAAUGCGUAGAUAUUAGGAGGAAUACCAGUGGCGAAGGCGACUUUCUGGACUUAUACUGACGCUGANGUACGAAAGCGUGGGGAGCAAACAGGAUUAGAUACCCUGGUAGUCCACGCUGUAAACGAUGAGUGCUAGGUGUCGGGGGUCAAACCUCGGUGCCGCAGCUAACGCAUUAAGCACUCCGCCUGGGGAGUACGUCCCAAGAAUGAAACUCAAAGGAAUNGACGGGGACCNCNCAAGCAGCGAACAUGUGGUUUAUUCG
rnacentral:rRNA from 1 species